rnacentral:tRNA from 1 species
UCAGGGAAGAAAGGUUUACCACUCCCACCUGUAACCCCCAAAGCUACAAUUCUAUUAAACUAUUCCCUG